rnacentral:rRNA from 1 species
CGACCGUAGGUCAGGCGGGAUCACCCGCUGAGUUUAAGCAUAUCAAUAAGCGGAGGAAAAGAAACUAACAAGGAUUCCUUUAGUAACAGCGAGCGAACCGGGAAGAGCCAAGCUUGAAAAUCGAACGUCUUUGGCGUUCGAAUUGUAGUCUGGAGAAGCGUCCUCAGCGAUGGACCGGGCCUAAGUUAACUGGAAAGGGGCGCCAGAGAGGGUGAGAGCCCCGUCGUGCCCGGACUCUGUCGCACCACGAGGCGCUGUCUACGAGUCGGGUUGUUUGGGAAUGCAGCCCCAAUCGGGCGGUAAAUUCCGUCCAAGGCUAAAUAUGGGCAAGAGACCGAUAGCGAAAAAGUACCACGAGGUAAAGAUGAAAAGGACUUUCAAAAGAUAGUCAAAGAAUGCUUGAAAUUAUUGCGAGGGAAGCGGAUGGGGGCCGGCGAUUCAUCCCGGUCGGAUGCGGAACGGAGCAAUACGGUAUGCCGAUCAAUUCGGGCCGUGGACCGACAUAGAUUAAGGUGGUGACCUAAGCCCGGGCUUUUGGUACGCCCGCAGAGACGUCGCUGCCUUAAUCGUGGUCUGCAGCACGCGCCUCACGGCGUGCCUUGGCAUCUGCGUGCUUAGGGUGUUUGCCUGUGGGCUCCCCAUUCGACCCGUCUUGAAACACGGACGAAGGUGUCUGACAUGUGUGCGAGUCAACGGGUGAGUAAACCCAUAAGGCGCAAGGAAGCUGAUUGGCUGGAUACCUCACGGGUGCACAGCCGACCGACCUUGAUCUUCUGAGAAGGUUUCGAGUGUGAGCAUGCCUGUCAGGACCCGAAAGAUGGUGAACUAUGCCCGAGCGGGGCAAAGCCAGAGAAAACUCUGGUGGAGGCCCGCAGCGAUACUGACGUGCAAAUCAUUCGUCUGACUUGGGUAUAGGGGCGAAUGACUAAUCGAACCAUCUAGUAGCUGGUUCCCUCCGAAGUUUCCCUCAGGAUAGCUGGAGCUUGGAAACGAGUUCUAUCGGGUAAAGCCAAUGAUUAGAGGCAUCGGGGAUCCAAUGUCCUCGACCUAUUCUCAAACUUUAAAUAGGUAGGAUGGGGUGGCUGCUUUGUGGAGCCAUCCCACGGAAUCGAGAGCUCCAUGUGGGCCAUUUUUGGUAAGCAGAACUGGCGAUGCGGGAUGAACCGGAAGCCGGGUUAUGGUUCCUAACUGCGCGCUAACCUAGAACCCACAAAGGGUGUUGGUCGAUUAAGACAGCAGGACUGUGACACCCCCGAUCGUAGUUGACCGGAAAUGACACGGUUGAUGUUCCUCGAUGGUAUAUCCGAGGUUCUCAGAAUACUUCUGAUCGACUUAGACAAACAACCAAAGAACACCAACGCUCCUAUCAGAUAUCACUCUAGGCUUUUCAACCCGAAAAAGCAAUACCCGAUAGUUAGUUCGUCCGGACAAGGACUAAUAUCAUAUGGAACCCGUACUUUAAAAAAAAAUUAUUUAUAUCAUUCAAAAUCAUCUUACAAAAUUUGUUAUAAAUUAACCUCGAGGUUUUCGGUCUACAAAUCUUAUUCAUAAGAUAUAUCAAAAUGACUUUGCAAGGAUAAUAAAACUACCGCUGGCUAAUGAUGUUCCUUCCUGUCCUAGAGUAAGGUAUCCCGCCUCUUGGUUACCUGCAUCACAAAUGAGUCAUGAGUAACUAGUUUACUCAGUGAGCCUAGUCCCGCACCCCAACAUAUAUUAAUACAAUCUCAAGCAAUCAACUUCAUUUGUAUGCAGUGGAAAUAUAUUUCAUAUCAGGAUAUUUAUAUAUAAGGACUAUCUAUCCAUCUUGUGAAUCUAAUCAUAUACCUCACUUCCUAUUCCCGUCUCUCAUAUCAUUCAUAUAAUCAUAUUUAUAUAUAUAUAUAUAUAUAUACCAGACCCGAGAAACCACAAAGGCUAAACGAGUCUAGCGAGUUAGCAUCACCAUCAUUGCCAUCAGAUAUUCAAAAAUUGAACAUCUAACGCUGCAUGCAGUUACACGGCCUCCAGGGUGCGACCCCAUCAUCGUGUCUUUGUGACCUUGUUCCAUAUCGCAGGACCAAUUCAUACGGGAAAAUUUUGGAAAACAGGUUUAUAAUAAGACUUCACAUGAUUAAUACUUCCAUACUUAAUUAUAUUAUAUAUUAGUACUUGAGAACAAGUACUAUGGCUCGGGAGUAAACCUCUAUGAACAUUCAUGAAUAUUUAAUAAGCGUUUACACUAAGUAAACACCUCACCAAUUCAAUAUUGAUCAAGAGACAUAGCCUAUCAAUCAUCUACAAUCAGUGCGUUCAAUCAAGAAAUAUUCAUUCACUAUUCAUUAAUCAUCUAUCUAGACUCACCUUUGAUUCCAUGAGAUUGGCUAGGGAAGACUAGACUCGAGCUCAACUAAUAACACUCCAUUUCACUCCUGAUUCAGAAUGUGUGGAUACAAGAUCAGUCAGGUUGAUUCCAACAGAAACUCUACUCAGCUUAGUUCAAAGCAGUUCAGUUCGGUUGAAG